rnacentral:rRNA from 1 species
AUGGACAUUUACAAGAGCGAGGAGCUCUUCUGGCAGCGUUGGGGCCAAAACUGGCUCCUUAAGGGGGAUGUGAACACUGUCUACUUUCAGGCGAUUGCUAAUGGUCACAGGCGGAAGUGUGUCAUCCCUUUCCUCUGGGACGGGGAUGUUCUUCUGGAAAGCCCACAGGACAUCUCCACCCAUAUUUACUCCUUCUAUAAGGAGUUGUUCUCGGCUGAGCCAAGCGGAGGCUCCUCUCUCUAUGCUGACUUCUAGCCGCUUGAUGACCAGGUCUCUGAUGCGGAGAAUGCGGAUCUUACUCUGCCAUUCUCCCCUAAGGAGGUGGGUCGAGCAAUUGCCUCUAUGAAGGCUGGCUCGGCCCCGGGACCGGAUGGUCUCCCGGUAGUCUUUUUCCAGAAAUUCUGGGAGAUCUUACGCCCGCUCAUUAUGUCCAUGUUUCAUGAGUUCUAUAUAGGAACCUUGGACAUGGUUAGGAAUAACUAUGGUGUCAUAUCCCCAUUCCUCAAAGUAGUUGGGGUGACGGAUAUUCGGCACUUCCGCCCCAUCACGGUGAUCAACGUGUUGGAGUGA